GAAAUGCGAUAAGUAAUGUGAAUUGCAGAAUUCAGUGAAUCAUCGAAUCUUUGAACGCACAUUGCGCCCGCCAGUAUUCUGGCGGGCAUGCCUGUCCGAGCGUCAUUUCAACCAUCAAGCCCCCGGGCUUGUGUUGGGGACCUGCGGCUGCCCGCAGGCCCUGAAAACCAGUGGCGGGCUCGCUGUCACACCGAGCGUAGUAGGAAUCACCUCGCUCAGGGCGUGCUGCGGGUUCCGGCCGUUAAACAGCCUUACAAAACCCAAGGUUGACCUCGGAUCAGGUAGGAAGACCCGCUGAACUUAAGC
rnacentral:misc_RNA from 1 species